GCUCAGUAACACGUGGAUAACCUGCCCUUGGGACCGGGAUAACCCCGGGAAACUGGGGAUAAUACCGGAUAACGCAUAUCUGCUGGAAUGCUUUAUGCGUAAAAUGGAUUUGUCUGCCCAAGGAUGGGUCUGCGGCCUAUCAGGUAGUAGUGGGUGUAAUGUACCUACUAGCCUACGACGGGUACGGGUUGUGAGAGCAAGAGCCCGGAGAUGGAUUCUGAGACAUGAAUCCAGGCCCUACGGGGCGCAGCAGGCGCGAAAACUUUACAAUGCGGGAAACCGUGAUAAGGGGACACCGAGUGCCAGCAUCAUAUGUUGGCUGUCCAGAUGUGUAAAAUACAUCUGUUAGCAAGGGCCGGGCAAGACCGGUGCCAGCCGCCGCGGUGACACCGGCGGCCCGAGUGGUGAUCGUGAUUAUUGGGUCUAAAGGGUCCGUAGCCGGUUUGGUCAGUCCUCCGGGAAAUCUGACGGCUCAACCGUUAGGCUUUCGGUGGAUACUGCCAGACUUGGAACCGGGAGAGGUAAGAGGUACUACAGGGGUAGGAGUGAAAUCUUGUAAUCCCUGUGAGACCACCUGUGGCGAAGGCGUCUUACCAGAACGGGUUCGACGGUGAGGGACGAAAGCUGGGGGCACGAACCGGAUUAGAUACCCGGGUAGUCCNAGCCGUAAACGAUGCUCGCUAGGUGUCAGGCAUGGCGCGACCGUGUCUGGUGCCGCAGGGAAGCCGUGAAGCGAGCCACCUGGGAAGUACGGCCGCAAGGCUGAAACUUAAAGGAAUUGGCGGGGGAGCAC
rnacentral:rRNA from 2 species